UACGUAGGGGGCAAGCGUUGUCCGGAAUCAUUGGGCGUAAAGGGUGCGUAGGCGGCGCGGUAAGUCGGGUGUGAAAUCUCGGAGCUUAACUCCGAAACUGCAUUCGAUACUGCCGUGCUUGAGGACUGGAGAGGAGACUGGAAUUUACGGUGUAGCGGUGAAAUGCGUAGAUAUCGUAAGGAAGACCAGUGGCGAAGGCGGGGUCUCUGGACAGUUCCUGACGUGAGGCACGAAGGUCAGGGGAGCAAACGGG
rnacentral:rRNA from 1 species